AGGGUGUAAACGCUGCAGACUUGGUGUUGGAAGUCCUUUGGGGGCAUUCAGUGCCGGAGAGAAGUUGUUAAGUCUGCUACUUGGGAGUACGUCCGCAAGGAUGAAACUUAAAGGAAUUGGCGGGGGAGCACCGCAACGGGAGGAGCGUGCGGUUUAAUUGGAUUCAACACCGUAAAACUCACCAGGGAAGACUGUUACAUGAAGGCCGAGAUGAAGACUCUGCUAGAUUUUCAGAGAGGAGGUGCAUGGCGUCAGUGACU
rnacentral:rRNA from 1 species